rnacentral:lncRNA from 1 species
CCCAGAUGAUCAUGUCAGCCUGCAGAUUUUCACAGCCGUGAACUGCAGGCAUUUUAGGUUUGAUGAUUUCUGGUUGUGGCAGACUGCUGUUGUGUGGAAAUAUGUUUAUCAGCACCUGUGCCCUCUUCUUGCUGUCCGAGAUGCUGAAAUAUGUCCCUCACAAAGCCAAGCCUGGAGUGAGUGUAAGAUCUGGUUCUCAGACUAUAGCUCAGAUGUGGGAGAACAGUGUGAGGCAAUCAAUCCCCGGUUGUGGGCACAGGGGUAAGGUGGGUCACGUCCCCUGCAGGGGCUUCCUAUUAAAGUGGACACUAGGCACUGUGCUUACAGAUAGAACACUGUCACAUUUAAGAGGCACAAAAUAUAACCUACAGGAAUAGGCAGGGUCUGGCAGGUUAGCAAAGUUUCUGGUCUAUGAGGGUU